ACGGGGCUAAACCAUGCACCGAAGCUGCGGCAGCGACGCUGAUGCGUUGUUGGGUAGGGGAGCGUUCUGUAAGCCUGCGAAGGUGGCCUGUGAGGGUUGCUGGAGGUAUCAGAAGUGCGAAUGCUGACAUAAGUAACGAUAAAGCGGGUGAAAAGCCCGCUCGCCGGAAGACCAAGGGUUCCUGUCCAACGUUAAUCGGGGCAGGGUGAGUCGACCCCUAAGGCGAGGCCGAAAGGCGUAGUCGAUGGGAAACGGGUUAAUAUUCCCGUACUUGGUGUUACUGCGAAGGGGGGACGGAGAAGGCUAUGUUGGCCGGGCGACGGUUGUCCCGGUUUAAGCGUGUAGGUGUGUGUUCCAGGUAAAUCCGGUUCACUUUAACACUGAGGCGUGACGACGAGGCACUACGGUGCUGAAGCAACAAAUGCCCUGCUUCCAGGAAAAGCCUCUAAGCAUCAGGUAACACGAAAUCGUACCCCAAACCGACACAGGUGGUCAGGUAGAGAAUACCAAGGCGCUUGAGAGAACUCGGGUGAAGGAACUAGGCAAAAUGGUGCCGUAACUUCGGGAGAAGGCACGCUGACACGUAGGUGAAGUGAUUUACUCA
rnacentral:rRNA from 1 species